UCCUAGCCCCGAUAGAAACGGAUACCCCACAGCAUAGGCCGGAACGCGCAAGGAUUACAGCCAUGGAAAGCCUUGGCGCGAGGAGUAUGAGUGGAUAGCGGGAAAAAGC
rnacentral:misc_RNA from 1 species